GAGCAUUUCGUUUUAUCAGAAGAAGCCAUCUCUGGUUUUCUUCAUUUUCUUUGCGAUUAUCUUUCCGUUUCUUUCACUUUCACGGGAACCAAACAGGGGAUGAAAAGAAGUAAAAUAUGAGGAGAAUUCAUUAGUGAAAUGUCGAAGUUUUUCUGGUGUUAGAAGUUCUGUCUGACUACCUGUUUCUAUGUUUUUCUCGGAAUCCGAACGGAGGAUAUUCGAAGGGAAAUUGAUGAGAGUUUGAUACUGAAGGUUGACGCUUUUUCCUUGUUAGAAGAUCUGGAGCUAUUGAAGAUUGGUAUUUUUAGAAAGAGUGUGUCUUUGUGUGUGUGUUUAGAGAUAAAAUUACUAGUGAUUCAGUUCGAGAAAUUCGAGUUUUUGAGAUACACAUUUUGAGGGAUUGAGUGGAGUUUGUAAGAAACUGAAGUUUCCCUCUUCAUUGAUUAGAUCCAAAUCUGACAACAAAACUGAAGAUUGGAGCUUUGAAAAUGCAAUCAUUUCGUCGAAAAUCUGUAAUAGA